rnacentral:lncRNA from 1 species
UUGUCAUUUUGCCUUUUCUAGAAUUUCAGGUAAAAGAAUCCUACAGUAGGUAUCUUUUGUGUCUGGCUGCUUUCACUUAGUGUAAAGCUCUUGAGAGGUAUCCGUGUUAGAUGUGUAUCGGUAAGUUGCCCUGUUUUAUUACUGAAUAUAUUCCGCUCUAUGGAUGUACCACAGUUUGUUUAUCCAUUUAUCAGCUGAAGGCCACUUGGGCUGCUCUCGGUUUGUGGGGAGCAGAGGGAAGCUGCUGGAACAUUCUUGUACAGAUUGUUGUGUGGAAAUCUGCUUUUAUUUGUCCUGGAUAAACACUUAAGGGGAAGGAUCGCUGGGUCUUAUGUUUGACUUUAUAAGGAACUGCUGAACUGUUUUCCACAGCAGCUGUGCCAUCUUGUAUGUCCGUCAGCACCGUGUGAGAGUUCCCCUGCUCUGCAGGCUUGCCAACGCAGAUGUGUCUUUUGAUUUCACCUGUUCUAGUGUGGAUACCGUUGUGGUUUCAAGUUGCAUUUCCCUAAUGAAUAAUGAUGUUCUGAAUCUUUUCAGGCACUUUUUUUUUUUUUUUUUUUUUUUUUUUGCCAUUUUGUAUACUUCUCUGGUGAAGUGCCUGGUCAAGCCUUUUACCCAUUUAAAAAAUCAAACUGUUUUCUUAUUGAUUUAUAAGAUAGAAGCUAGGCAUAGUUGCAUCUGCCUGUAGUCUUAACUACUUGGAAGCCCAAAGCAGGAUGAUCACUUGAGCCCACGUGUCUGAGGUCAGCCUGGGCGACAUGGUGAGACCCUGUCACUAAAAAUAAACAGAAAGUAAAGAUACAUAUAUAUCUCACUGUGCUAGGCUGAAUGAUGGCCUCCCAAAGAUGUUCGCAACCUAAUCUGUAAAAACUGUGAGUUUCUUACCUUACCUGGCAAAAGGGACUUUGCAGAUGUGAUUCAACUAAGGAUGUUGAGAUGGGGAGAUUCUCCUGGGUUACCUGGCUGGGUCUGAUGUAAUCACAGGAGUCCUCAUUAGAGGGAAGCAGAAAGACCAAAGUCAGAGACGGAGAUGUGGCCGUAGAAGCAGAGGUCCAUGUGCUGCGGGGCCAUGAGCCAAGGAACCCACGCCGCCUCUGGGAACUGGGAAAGGCAAGGGAGCAACGUCUCCCUGGAGCUCCAGAGUGAGCCAGCCCUGAUGACACCGUGACUUCAGCCCUCGGAGACUGACUGUGGACAUCGGACCUCUGUCACUGAACUGUCCAGGAAGACCCUGCAGUCUCUCUGCAGGCUCAUGGGAGCUCCCAGAACUGAGACAACACACGGAUCCAGGCCUGCUUCGAAGUCAGUGGGAUGCGGCCCUUGAAAGUCGAUGUAUUGGGUUCCUAGGGCUCUCGUGAAAACAUGCCACACCUGGCUGGUUUUAAACAACAGGAGUUUAUUCUGUCAGUUGAGAAGGCUACAAGUGCAAAAUCAAGGUAUUGACGGGAUGAGUUCCAACUAGAGGCUGUGAGGCAGAUCAACUCCAUGGCUCUCUCCUGGCUUCUGCUGGUUUCUGGCAACCGUUCACUUCCCAUGCCUGGUAGACACAUCACUCUAACCUCUGCCUCCCUUUUUCAUGGGCACAUUCGCGCCUGUGUGUGUGUGUGUGUGGAUGUGUGUGUUAAGGACAGCAAUCAUUAGACUAGAUGGGGCCCACUCUAAUCCACUGUGAGCUUCUCUUACUUUGGUAACAUCUGCAAAGACCCUAUUUCCAAACAAGGUCACAUUCCAUGUUCUGGGACUGUCUUCUGAGAGAUGUCUCCCCCAGGAUCCUUCCAGGUGGAAGGAUGCCCUUUGACCUGCAAAGCCAGGCAGAAAACCAGGAUCAGGGCAGGACAAGAGGAUGCUAGCCUGUGAUGGCUCCCACUCAGGUGGGAUGUGAGAAGUGCCUGUGGCCUGGGACACACCAACUUGCUCCCGUUACCUCAUCUGAGAUGGACUGCACAGUGUAUGUCCAGGGCCCAACCCGGUACACUGUGCCUUUGCAAUGCUGUCUCUGUGCUUUGGAAAUUCACUCAGCCCACUGCGUGGGGUGGUCUGAGGCGGGCCACAACCAUUUCUCAACCAUCCCUGAGUACCUGACCAGUAUCCCUCGGGGGUGACGACGACCGCCUACAUCUGGAGCAUGAGGAGCGUGUUUACCUGGUGAGUAAGGAUGCAAGCAUAGGACGUCCUGGCCGAUCCUCUGCACAAGCAAUGCCUUUGCUCCAACGGGAUGGGCAACGUUGGAUUAGGCCUGAGGCAGAUUUGAUCUCGGAAGAUACAUUCGAGUCUAUGUGUUUUGUGCAUUUAUUUUUGUUUCCUUGAAUUAACAUGGAGUCCAUUUCAACUUUCACUUAGUCUCCUUUCUCUUCCCCCACUUCUUUCUCUCUCUCUCUUUCUUUGUAUGUGGAAGAAUUUUAACUCUGUGUUCCAUAAUGUCUAAAUACUCAAAUUUAGAGUUGACAGCCAUACAGCAAAUUAUUCAAGUUGCUGUCAAAAAAAAAAAAUCCCUGCGUUUUCUAGGAUUAAAACUGUGAAUAGAGUACUGGAAGAAAAAAAAGUCAUAGACUCAGAUGCAAAAUGACAACAUUUAAUGGGAUGAUAAGGAAAUAAGACUUGACAAGAAACCAUAGCCCACUGCAGACUGUUCACGA